UAAGAGAUCAUUUACAGCAGAGGAAAAACGAAAUGUUUCUGCCCAGGGAACUACACAAAAAUAUUGUGGAGCACACUGAUUAACAGUUGUAGGUGUCUAGUAUUUUGCCCCAGUGACAAAGAAAAGGGGACUGAGACACCCUGUGAGACCUGUAGGAGCAGCAGCCACAGGCACAGGAG
rnacentral:lncRNA from 1 species